rnacentral:ncRNA from 3 species
ACCUCGGAUCAGGUAGGAAUACCCGCUGAACU